rnacentral:lncRNA from 1 species
AGAAAUGACACACAGAAAGGGCUUGAGUCCAGGAAUGUUGGGAGUUGCAGUCCAAAACACCUGGACAGAAGGCCCAAGUUGGACCAUGCCUGAUCUACAAGGCCAUUCGCAUCAAUACAUUUCCAGAUGGAAGUUGAUCCCAGCAACCUCCUUCCUCUUGGAACGUUUUGUUGGGAAAGUGGGCUUAUUAACAAAAGACCCUCCCCAUUAGCGCAGAGCAGAGCAACGUAUUAGCAGCAGCGUGAUAAAAGGAACACAAAAAGACACAGACCAAUGUUGUCCCUUCCUUAGGAGGCUUUUCUUUGUAGCAAAAGAAAAAGUUGCACUAUUUCUGUAACAGAAAGUUCUUUAUACUUCCUUCUUUGCUUCCACGCUGGGCUUCUUUCUCAUGCAGAUAAACAGCUUCCAGCUUCACUCUCACAGAGCCUGCUCUCACACCAAACUUACACAGGAGCUUCACACGGUAGCUUUACACGCAGCAGCCUUCACACUGAAGCUUCACACACACGAGGCCUUCAUUUCGGUCCUCUCUCACUGAAGCGUCUCACAUCAAGCCUUCUUACACAAAGCUCUUUAUACUUCCUUCUUUGCUACCACGCUGAGCUUCUUUCUCAUGCAGAUAAAGUACUUCCAGCUUCGCUCUCACAGAGCCUCCUCUCACACCAAACUUACACAGGAGCUUCACACGGUAGCUUUACACACAGCAGCCUUCACACUGAAGCUUCACACACACAAGGCCUUCAACUUGGGCUUCUCUCACUGAAGCGUCUCACAUCAGGCCUUCUCACACUGCUUCUCACACCAGGCCUUCUAACACAAAGCUCUUUAUACUUCCUUCUUUGCUUCCACACUGGGCUUCUUUCUCAUGCAGAUAUAUACCUGCCAGCUUCGCUCUCACAGAGCCUCCUCUCACACCAAACUUACACAGGAGCUUCACACGCCUCCUUACACAAAGUUCUUUAUACUUCCUUCUUUGCUUCCACGCUGGGCUUCUUUCUCAUGCAAAUAAACAGCUUCCAGCUUCGCUCUCACAGAGCCUCCUCUCACACCAAACUUACACAGGAGCUUCACACGGUAGCUUUACACGCAGCAGCCUUCACACUGAAGCUUCACACACACGAGGCCUUCAACCUGGGGCUUCUCUCAUGUAACACAUAUAAAGUACUUUAUACUUCCUUCUUUAUAUCCACGCUGGGCUUCUUUCUCAUGCAGAUAAACAGCUUCCAGCUUUGCUCUCACAGAGCCUCCUCAAACCAAACUUACACAGGAGCUUGACACAGUAGCUUUACAUGCAGCAGCCUUCACACUGAAGCUUCACACACACAAGGCCUUCAACCUGAGGCUUCUCUCAUGUAACACAUAUAAAGUACUUUAUAUUUCCUUCUUUCCUUCCACGCUGGGCUUCUUUCUCAUGCAGAUAAAUACCUUCUAGUCUCACUCUCACAGAGCCUUCUCUCACACCAAACAUACACAGGAGCUUGACACAGUAGCUUUACACACAGCAGCCUUCACACUGAAGCUUCACACACACGAGGCCUUCAACUGGGGCUUCUCUCACUGAAGUUUCUCACAUCAGACCUUGCACUGCUUCUCACGCUAAGACCUACUAAGCUACAGGCACACCUGCUCAUAUUGAACUGCAGCUUUUGCUGAGUCAUUGCACCCAUUCAACCCCUUCAGUACUUGACUCACAUUUUUGUAAUGAGAAAUAACUAGCUAAUUGUUUAAUAUUUCUUGUACGUUUCUCCCCUUCGCCCUCCAUUUGUGCCUCUUCAAAAUCCAUGGCACUGUUGGUAAAGCUGGCCUUCAGUUAGAGGCUCGAGGGCCAGGGCUUCCAGGUCCAGGUGUUUAUGCCACACUUUUUAAGGCUAACUUUAAGCCUGUCUUUAAACCUGUCCGCUAACAUUCCGGUUUUGCAGUAUUUAUUUAUUUAUUUAUUUAUUGUGUCAGAAGCAAACUGAGGAUACAGUUGUACUGUAUUUGAAAACACAAAGUUCAAAGCUUGGCAUGAUACUAAAUGUCCUUUGACCAGAAUCUGGCCACUUGGAGUGAGUGCCUCUGGUGUGGCUGUGAGAAGGUCCUCCGUGGUGCACGCGGCAGGGCUCAGGCUGCAAUAGGUGGUCUGUGGUUGGCUCUUCUUCACCCUCGCAUGUCGUGGAUUCCACUUUGCUGCCCCAUUUCUGAAGGUUGGCUCUGCAUCUCAUGGUGCCAGAGCGCAGCCUGUUCAGUGCCUUCCAAGUCGCCCAGGAGGGAGUCUCAUUUGGUAUCAACCAUAGGUUGAGGUUCUGGGUUUUAGCCUGCCACUUUUGGACUCUCGCUUGAUGAGGUCUCCCUAAGAGCAUCUCUACAGAUCUUGGGAAGCUGUGUCUUGAUUUAAGGCGUUGGAGUGCUGGCUGAUAACCAAAGAGGGGAUGGGAUGGAGAUGUCACUGCCUUGGUCCUUUCAUUGCCGGCUGCUAACACUCACUGGUUUGACAUUUUAUUUAUUUAUUUAUUUGUUUAUUUACAGUAUUUAUAUUCCACUCUUCUCAACCCGAAGGGGACUCAGGGCGGAUUACAAUGAACACAUAUAUGGCAAACAUUCAAUGCUAACAGACAAACAACAUUCAGUUUUUAGACAGACACAGAGGCAUUUUUAACAUCUUUCCAGCUUCACGAUUCCGGCCUCAGGGGGAGCUGUUGCUUCACUGUCCAUUGGUGACUGUUCUUCCUCAUUCUUUUCCUCGUGAGCAGUUUUUUUAUGGUGUUGUAGAUUAGUUAAUUUAGCCUCCCGCAUAAAGCGUACCUAAAUUUUCCCUACUUGACAGAUGCAACUGUCUUUUGGGGCUGCUAGGUCAACAGCAAGCCGAGGCUAUUUUUUUUUUAUGGUCGGAGGCUUAACCCAACCCGGGCUUCGAACUCAUGACCUCUCGGUCAGUAGUGAUUUAUAGCAGCUGGUUACUAGCCAGCUGCGCCACAGCCCGGCCCCUCAGAGACAUCUGCUGGACUCUGAGGCUUUUCCGGUAGUGCAGCCAUACUGGUUUUUGACUAACC